AAUUAAUUAAAUUUUUUUUUUUUGAAUUAGAGUAGCUAUGAAAAUAAAUUUGUUGUGAUAUUUUUGGCACGCCACUCAUCAUAGUGAGGGUCACGCACAUGUCACGCGUGGGGAACCUGCUUAUCCCACACGUGGGCCAAUUUUAACAUUGUGUCGGGUCUGUCAUUUGACCACGUGUUUUACAUCAACUUGCUAGAUAUCGAGGGUCCCCUACGAGUAAGUUGAUCAUUAUCUGAUGAAACUUUUGUCCAAGUGCUGUCACUGCCACCCUGCUCCUUUGCAUGCAUGCCCCUUGAAAGGGCAAAAAUGUAAAUUGCUGAAUUUUUUUCUAAUUUUUUGGUCAUAAAUAUAAUAAUACCUAGACUGUGACUACAUAAUUCUAGAGAUAUUGUUCUCGCUGCUUAAGCCUUAACAGUGUUGUCAAAUAAUUGAAUUUUAUUAGCUUUCUCAUUAUUUGACAAUAUCAAAAUUAUAAGGUACAUUAGGCUUGUUUGAGAUUAUUUUUGAAAGGUUUAAAAGUAAUUUUAAAAAAUUAAAAGUUAAUUUUAAUAUUUAUUAACUUUUUUUUUUAUAAAUCACUUUUAAUAAAAUUACACUGACUUUAGAUUUUGAAAAGUAAAGAAAGAAUAACUUUUCAAAAUCUAAUUUUAAGAAUCACUUUUAUAAUACAAUCCAUAUAUCCUCUCACA
rnacentral:lncRNA from 1 species